ACUGAAUGGGAAUAAUUUUAUAUAUAUAUAUAUGUGUGUGUGUGUGUGUGUGUAUACACAUACAUACAUAUACACGUAUAUCUACAUAUAUGUACAUAUAUA
ensembl:miRNA Gm22698 predicted gene, 22698